rnacentral:lncRNA from 1 species
CGAAAUUGUGAAUUAGCAUAAAGGGAAGAGUAGUGGAAGUGGGUGGAUUUUGAUGUUUUGCUCACCAAAUACCUUUAGAAAAGGGCAUAUGGUGGUUCAGAGAGUGUAGAAAAGAACAAGCGAGUAAAUCUGAGGACUCUGUUUUGUUUCCUCUCUCUGGUUCAAGAGGAGAGUAAUAAAAUAAUAUGAAUUACAAAGUUGAAAUAAUUAGAAGCUUUCGUGAAAAUAAACUGGCAUACAAUAUUUCAGAUGUAAUGAAAA